rnacentral:lncRNA from 1 species
AAUAUGUAGUCAAUUGUAGCCAGUAAGGACUACAUUUGGAUAUAAUAAGACAUACUUAAAGAUGUUUAGAUAAUAGAAGCUUUUGGAUACCACUUGUCCAAUAUAAACAUUUAACAGAGCAUAGAAGAGGAAAGAAAACUGGAAGAAAUCAAAAUACAAAUGCCUACAAAUGACAACAUUUAACCCCCGUUCAAUAGCCAGUUAUUGAAUACUAUAUUUAACUACAAAUAACUACAUUUAAACUACAAAUAACUGUGUAUAACAGCUACAAGAUACACAUGAAACUACAUUCAACCACAACAAACUACAG